rnacentral:lncRNA from 1 species
CUACUUUAGAUUCAAGUAGAAGUAGUCCUAGCUUUGGUUUUUGCAUCUGAGUUCAGUUUAAUUAAGCAUUUUUGCAUAUAAGAGGGUAGCAAGUCAGUUUUGGAAAAAUUCAUAACCUGGAGAGAUUUUGGCCUAAUUUUUUGUCUUUCUUAUGUGAUUUCAGGCAUGUUUGAUUUUCAUCCUGAUUUUGCAUUGAUUCUUUGUGAAAAGCUUGCUUUUGUUAGAUUUUAGAUAUGAUUUAGGCAUUCUUCUUUUAAUCCAUGACAAUUAGUUUACUCCUUUCAGUUUUUCUUACCAUUGCACCUUUUCUUUUGAGCCUUAGCCAUUUUUCUUUNUUUCCAUUCGUUACAAACCCUUUUUCCCACCAAAUACCUAACCGGUAGAGACAUGUGAAAGGGAUGGAGGAUCUUGGAACUUGGUGAGCGCCAUAGAAAAGAAGGCCAAAAGUGAAAAAAAGAAAAAGAAAAAAAUGAAUUGCUAGUUGUGUGCAAAAGAAAGAACAGGUAUGGAAAAAGAGCAAAAGUGCAAAAUUAUAAAAAAAGAGACUUGAGCAGAAGUAAAAACUAGAGAGAAAGAAAAAAAAUUGAAUUGGCCAAAGAUAGACAUACAGUGCACUGAGUUUUAGGUUCUUCCUUCUUCUUCACAGUUUCUACUUCCAUUAAGCCUUGUGCUUUCUUAGCCUUCAUACCAUUACAUUACAAGCCAAUAAAGUCAUUUUGAUCUAGAUGAAACCAAAGAGCUGAGCAUGGUCACUUAGAGUCCUUUCAAAGUUAAGAAUUAAAGUUGACAUGUCAUGAAGGAGUUAAACAGGCUGAGCCUAAACAGUGAGUGAAUCUGAGUGUAAACACUUGUUCAUGUGAGGCUAAAACUGACUUAUGCUUUUCUGAUUAUGUUCCUUGUUGAAAUUGGCUGAAUUGAGUUGUUUUUCCACUUGCUAGGAUUGUUGAUACUGAGUUUAAGGAUGAGAAUUAAGUUAUGCAGUUUCUGAUGAGGAAAUGGCUAGAAAUUGAUUGAAUGUGCAGGGUUGAGUAAGCUGUGAUAGAGUUUCUUAGUUUCCAUUUUGAGUCUUUUCGUUUUAGUUUGAGUCUUGGUUUUUUGUUUUUCUAUUUAGUUUUCCCUGCCCAUGAGGGCAGUUCCUUAAGUGUGGGGGUGUGUUAAUUCUCUAUUUUUCCCCAAUUUUCUAUGUUAAUAUUUUUCUUUUAGGUUAGUUUUGCUAUUAAUUUUUAGAAUUAAGGUAGUUU